UUUGGGGUCACCGAGGUCUUGGGGUCACCAAAUUUUGGGGACUUUGGGGUCUUUUGGGGACUUUGGGGUUUUGGGGCCAUUCAAGUGCAUUUUGGGGCCAUCCAAGCGCAUUUUGGGUCAAUUCAACCAUUUUUCGGCAUCCCCGAGCUCUUGGUGUCCCCGAGGGCUCUCGGUGCGUUGGGGCUGCCCCCAAACUUUGCGUUUCUCACCCCAAAUUUUGGGGAUAUUGGGGUCUUUUGAGGACAUUCAAGUGCGUUUUGGGGGAAUUCAAGUGCGUUUUGGGGUCACCGAGGUCUUGGGGACGCCAAAUUUUGGGGACUUUGGGGUCUUUUGGGGACUUUGGGGUUUUGGGGACAUUCAAGUGCAUUUUGGGGAAAUUCAAGCGUCUUUUGGGGUCCCUGAGGUCUUGGGGACACCAAAUUUUGGGGAUUUUGGGGUCUUUUGGGGAUGUUCAAGCGUCUUUUGGGGUCACCGAGGUUUUGGGGACGCCAAAUUUUGGGGACUUUGGGGUCUUUUGGGGACAUUCAGGUGUCUUUUGGGAACACCGAGGGGUCUUGGGGACACCAAAUUUUGGGGAUUUUGGGGUCUUUUGGGGAAAUCAAGUGUGUUUUGGGGUCACCGAGGUCUUGGGGACACCAAAUUUUGGGGACAUUCAAGUGUCUUUUGGGGACUUUGGGGUCUUUUGGGGACUUUGUGAUUUUGGGGCCAUCCAAGCGCAUUUUGGGUCAAUUCAAGCCUUUUUCGGCAUCCCCGAGCUCUUGGUGUCCCCGAGGGCUCUCGGUGCGUUGGGGCCGCCCCCAAACUUUGCGUUUCUCACCCCAAAUUUUGGGGACUUUGGGGUCUUUUGGGGACAUUCAAGUGUGUUUUGGGGUCACCGAGGUCUUGGGGACACCAAAUUUUGGGGCCUUUGGGGUCUUUUGGGGACAUUUGGGGCCUUUUGGGGCCUCCUGGGGACAUUUGGGGUCCUUUAGGGACAUGGGGGUCCCUUGGGGUCAUUUGGGGUCGUUUGGGGGCUUUUGGGGUCGUUUGGGGUCUCUUGGGGACAUCUGGGACCUAUUGGGGACACAGGGGUCCUUUGGGGACAUUUGGGACCUCUUGGGGUCCCUGGGGACAUGGGGGGCUUUUUGGGGUC
rnacentral:lncRNA from 1 species